rnacentral:rRNA from 1 species
AUUGAACGCUGGCGGCAGGCCUAACACAUGCAAGUCGAGCGGAUGAAGGGAGCUUGCUCCUGGAUUCAGCGGCGGACGGGUGAGUAAUGCCUAGGAAUCUGCCUGGUAGUGGGGGAUAACGUCCGGAAACGGGCGCUAAUACCGCAUACGUCCUGAGGGAGAAAGUGGGUGAUCUUCGGACCUCACGCUAUCAGAUGAGCCUAGGUCGGAUUAGCUAGUUGGUGGGGUAAAGGCCUACCAAGGCGACGAUCCGUAACUGGUCUGAGAGGAUGAUCAGUCACGCUUGAACUGAGACAAGGUCCAGACUCCUACGGUAGGCAGCAGUGGGGAAUGUUGGACAAUGGGCGAAAGCCUGAUCCAGCCAUGCCGCGUGUGUGAAGAAGGUCUUCGGAUUGUAAAACACUUUAAGUUGGGAGGAAGGGCAGUAAGUUAAUACCUUGCUGUUUUGACGUUACCAACAGAAUAAGCACCGGCUAACUUCGUG